GUGAACAGUUGGUUCGCACUUGUUUGGUUUGUUGCCGUGUUAAGCUUUGACACAAUAACUAAUGAAAUUCGUAUUUUUAUUGCAUCAGGUGGACAAUGUUCAAUGCUAUUUUUAAACUUCGGAAAUUCCAUUUUUAAUUCUUAUAUAAAACCGUUUGUGCUAUAAUAUUUUGAACUAUAUUACAUGUGCACGUUUCAUCAUUAGACAUAGAUGUGUGGAAGAUUUUAUAAACCGUGGACCUCAACAAACACAUGGAUUAUAAACUGGAAGUGACUGUAAUAUUUAGACAAUACUGAAUUCCGAAUUUUGGACUUAUAAAGAUAAUAAUUUGUGAUUUAUCUGGUAUGAUGUAUCCAUUCAUACAGCUGAUGUACGUUUUUGAGCUCUCUGUGACACUUUUGGCAGUUGCAAGACAAACACCAAGUGUAGGAUUAUACAAUCUAGCCUUCCAAAGAAGAUCGAAAAAUGAAACAAAAUCGUACAAUUUUGUGUGGAGGCCAAUUUCACAAAUAGCCCCCUUUCAAUUAACCAUGCACCAAUUAUUUAGUGUGCCGACUGGUGGAAUGUUGAAAGCAGAAUUAUCAUUAACGACUAGAAGCAAGACAAAGAAAUUUAAGGCUGCCGCUUGUAUAACUCUUAUACGCACAAAUCAGAAAACCUGUCAGAGAAUAUUUGGUGUACCAGGAAAAAGAAAACAGUUCGUCAGUCAGUUAAUUCUUCAUGAGGUAUUUGAAGUCCAGAAAGAUGAUAAACUUGAAGUGUCAAUUCCACGUGGAAAAAAAUAUAUCUAUCAAGUCGGGGAGUACAAUCGCCUUCGAUUAUACUAUUUAUAGAAUUGCUAGAAGAUUGUUAAUAUUUUGUUGAAUACAGUGAAUGACAGAAAUUUCAGACAGUUUACAAUAUUGUCAUAUAAUUUUGAAACAACUUCAGUUUUUAAGUUACAUAACUACAAUUUAUAUAAUGCCAUUUCUCGUUUAAGUAAUUCCUCGUCGAAAUCUUGGUGUCAUAAAAUUAUAUUUGGAAAAAGCAGUAUAUGCAUUGAAUGUGUGCAAAGUAUUAAAGAAGAUCUGUCAUAUUUGGUGGGAAGAAAAACCUCAUAAAAUCCCUAAACUGCUUGCUAGUAUUUCUAGAUUUGAUAGAAAAACAAUGGAUAUGGGGUAUCCAUCCAUGACACAAAAUCAGUAAAUGCACAACAACAAAAAAACAUACAAAAAGCAAAGGAACAGCGCUUUUAUUGCUGUUCUUCAUCUCAAAGUCACAGUGAGACCUCAACACGGAGCAAAAAAACUCUUACCUCACUGCAAGUUUUAUACGGCCCCUAGCACCGGCUUUAGCGGAAAUCUUUGCAAAAAUAAUUUGGAUAGACUUUGUAAGAUGUAACACCACCCAAUCGGGCCCAAAAUAGUUCCUACGCACAGGUGUACAUCUUAAACUAUGUAGCAUAUAUUUUAGUAAUUAAAAAAUCAAAUGAAAGGUGAAGGACUGGUGAUCCUUGUAGAGCACACAAUUUACUGAUAAUUUUGAAUAUUACAAAAAUGUAUGAUUGAAUUAUAUAAUUGAGGGCAAAUAUAGCCUGUUUCUCAAGCUGUGGUCACACCUUACCGGAUAGCUCGAACGGACGCCGAACGGAUGAAAAAAAGUUUUCCGUUGACAAAUUUUUUAUCUGUUGGGGGUCCUGUUGUACUGACAAAAUAAAACGGACGGGUAACGAAUGCCUAACGGACACACACAGGAUAUGCAACGUACGAGAAACGGAAACGUACCGGACAGAACGGAUGUCGAACGUACAUCCAACGGACGAGUACCGCAUAAAACCGAAUUGAAAAAAAGUUAUCUGUUCGAAUUCGGCGUCCGUACGCGCUAUCCGGUAAGGUGUGACCGGGGCUUCAGAUAUGAAAUGCCUGGUUUGGUGUAUCCAAAAUUCCGGUAACCAGUGCAGAACGGUCUGACUAUUCCUGGAGUGUAACCGUAACCCUUUCUGUGCUUUAUAACUUCAUAACUUCAAAGCAUCUUAACACCAAUAUGUACACAUGAUCAGGUUGUAAAAUAACGUGUGAAUAAUGUUGUCACACAACAGAUAGGAAAGCGAAUGCAGAGAUAAACAAUUACGUACGUAAGAUUUCGUAGAUGGUAAUAUUCUAAUGUCUUUUUUUAUAUUACCGUUUUUUCAUAUUUCCAUCUUACGUCAAAUUCUAAAUCUUUACUAUAACCGGCUGUUUUGAAAUUAUAUUUGGUACAACAUACGUGUUUGUUAUAUUCGAAACAUGAAGAUCGGCCCCCAGUAUACUACUCGCUCCUUUUAUAUGAAAAAAAAUCAAACUUAAAUCGUUUAAGUGAAGAAGUCGAACGAUGUAUAAAAAUAUCAUGUUUAUUCAAGUUUGCGAACGCUACAAUUUUGUAGACAAUUAACAUUUGUAUAUUUUAUAAGCUGGACUAGUUGUCUUCGGGUCGAAUUGACUUGUACCUUCAAGUUAACCGGUACAAAAUGGCAUCUUUCACUUGAUAUGUGUUCAUCAGUUUAAUAAUUCUAUAAUUUUUUAGAGUUUCAUGAUCUUAACCUCGUGAAUGAUUUGAGUUGUUAGAAAUCUGACACUUGUUUAACAACCAUACAAAGCGAUGUAGAAUUAAGUACUGUUGAACAUUAAACGAUAAGAUGUAAA